AUUGAACGCUGGCGGCAGGCUUAACACAUGCAAGUCGAGCGGGGGAAGGUAGCUUGCUACUGGACCUAGCGGCGGACGGGUGAGUAAUGCUUAGGAAUCUGCCUAUUAGUGGGGGACAACAUCUCGAAAGGGAUGCUAAUACCGCAUACGUCCUACGGGAGAAAGCAGGGGAUCUUCGGACCUUGCGCUAAUAGAUGAGCCUAAGUCGGAUUAGCUAGUUGGUGGGGUAAAGGCCUACCAAGGCGACGAUCUGUAGCGGGUCUGAGAGGAUGAUCCGCCACACUGGGACUGAGACACGGCCCAGACUCCUACGGGAGGCAGCAGUGGGGAAUAUUGGACAAUGGGGGGAACCCUGAUCCAGCCAUGCCGCGUGUGUGAAGAAGGCCUUAUGGUUGUAAAGCACUUUAAGCGAGGAGGAGGCUACUUUAGUUAAUACCUAGAGAUAGUGGACGUUACUCGCAGAAUAAGCACCGGCUAACUCUGUGCCAGCAGCCGCCGUAAGAC
rnacentral:rRNA from 1 species